rnacentral:pre_miRNA from 1 species
UCUUAUGGAUGAGCAAAGAAAGUAGUUUCCUGAGAUGGAAUCUACUCCUGAUGAGGAAUCUGUGAA